rnacentral:lncRNA from 1 species
CGCCCUAUAGCCGCGAAUUUCUUGCAAGGUGACAGAAAAAAUAGAUCAACAAGAUCAACAAAAAUAGAUCCCCAAUUUCUUGCACAAAAUUAGGGCUUGGACGAGGUGACAUUUAGGGUGAGGCAGCAGCCUUCCUGGGCUGGAGGCGCCGCGUGUGGCAGCGGCGUUGCCGGAAAUGAGAGAGAGAUUUAGGAAGAGGAGGAGACUGAAUUUGGGAGCCUAGGGCUCGGCGGCGGCGGUGGCUCUACCGUCGUUUCAUUCAAAGCAGGGGAGAGUAGAUGAGAAGGUAGAGAGGGGGCGGUUGUUGUGGCUUUGCUGCAGCCGCCGAAAACCAGUAGCGUCGCUAGCAACACCAAUUUCCGGCAAGCAACACCAGUAGCGUCGCAAGCUCGAGAUGCAGAGAUAUGAGGCUGCGGGAGCGAAGCCAAAUCCAUCUGAUGUCACCGCUUCGUCAGCUGAGUCCGGCGAGAUGACGCCGGCGUGCACGGCGAAAAAGAGUAAAGAGAGAGGAGGCAACAAAAAAAGAUAGUACAGAGAGAGAGAGAGGAAGCAGCGUGAAGAAGAAGAGCAAAAAAGAGAGUAGACAGAGAGAUGAGCCGUCCAAAAUUAGGGUUUAUAUUAAUUAAAAAAUUUAAUUAAGUCCUAAUUAUUACCCAAAAUAGAAACAAGUCAUUAUUUGUGGGACAACCCAAAAAAGAAAACAGACCAUUAUUUAUGGGACGGAGGGAGUAACAUUUUAUAUCAUGUUUUAUAUGUAUGAUUUCAUUUGUUAUUGAUAAAAAAUAUUACUCCCUUUGUCCCAUAAAAACAUGCAUAAUAUGGGACGACACGGGUCUUAAAAAAUCCUGUAGAGUGUAGUGUAAGUGGAGAAAUGAUCUCACAUUGAUUGUGAUGUUUAGUGGGAGAAUUAUUACUAAAGUGUUAUUUGAAUAAUAAAACUACAUGGAAUAAGACGAGGCAGGUCGAUGGUAAGGGGGUCAAGUCAAUGAGUAGAGCUUCAGUCCACAUGAUGCAUGGGGUGAGUAUUCGUAAUUUGGUUGGAUAUAGGGUAAAGAAAAUAUCCAAACCUGGAUUACCGAAUUUCUAAAAAUGGUAUCGAAUCAAAUCAAAUUUAUUUCGACUACCAAACCAAAAUAAGCAAAUGUUAUUUUGAUUAUUCUGAAUUUUCCCACAAAAACAAUUAAAUACUCUCUUCGUCCCAUUUUAAAUGACACAAUAGAAAUGAGCACGGGAAAAUUAAGAAUAAGAUUUUAAGAGUGUAAAGUGGAUAUGGACCACUUGUUUAUUAUGUCUAGAGUAGGUAGAGAUCACAUACUAUUUUUAGAUAGUAUCAUUAUAAAUGGGGAUAAACUAAAAAGAAAAGUAUGUCAUUAUAAGUGAGAUAAAAGGGAGUAGAACUAAAAACAAUUAAGUACUCUCUUAGUCAUAUUCGUAAUAUUGAUAAUGAUAAAAAGUGCCAUAUUAAUUCUUUAAUGGAAUGAAUUAGUAUUAAUAGACUUAAAUUUAAGUUAUAUAAUAAAUAUAUAUAUAGUUAUUUAAGUCUAUCAGGAGAUCUUAUCAUAAUCCUCCUAGGAAACUCUAGCAUAGCCCAUCAACACGUAUAAAGNGGCGCCCUAUAGCCGCGAAUUCUUGCAAGGUGACAGAAAAAUAAGAUCAACAAGAUCAACAAAAAUAGAUCCCCACUUUCUUGCACAAAAUUAGGGCUUGGACGAGGUGACAUUUAGGGUGAGGCAGCAGCCUUCCUGGGCUGGAGGCGCCGCGUGUGGCAGUGGCGUUGCCGGAAAUGAGAGAGAGAUUUAGGAAGAGGAGGAGACCGAAUUUGGGAGCCUAGGGCUCGGCGGCGGCGG